UACGUAGGGGGCUAGCGUUGUCCGGAAUCAUUGGGCGUAAAGCGCGUGUAGGCGGUCCGGUAAGUCCGCUGUGAAAGCCAGGGGCUCAACCCUUGGAUGCCGGUGGAUACUGUCGGGCUUGAGUACGGAAGAGGCGAGUGGAAUUCCUGGUGUAGCGGUGAAAUGCGCAGAUAUCAGGAGGAACACCAAGUGCGAAGGCAGCUCGCUGGGACGUUACUGACGCUGAGACGCGAAAGCGUGGGGAGCAAACAGG
rnacentral:rRNA from 1 species